GACGAACGCUGGCGGCGUGCUUAACACAUGCAAGUCGAACGGAAAGGCCCUGCUUUUGUGGGGUGCUCGAGUGGCGAACGGGUGAGUAACACGUGAGUAACCUGCCCUUGACUUUGGGAUAACUUCAGGAAACUGGGGCUAAUACCGGAUAGGAGCUCCUGCUGCAUGGUGGGGGUUGGAAAGUUUCGGCGGUUGGGGAUGGACUCGCGGGUUAUCAGCUUGUUGGUGGGGUAGUGGCUUACCAAGGAUUUGACGGGUAGCCGGCCUGAGAGGGUGACCGGCCACAUUGGGACUGAGAUACGGCCCAGACUGCUACGGGAGGCAGCAGUGGGGAAUAUUGCACAAUGGGCGGAAGCAUGAUGCAGCAACGCCGCGUGCGGGAUGACGGCCUUCGGGUUGUAAACCGCUUUCGCCUGUGACGAAGCGUGAGUGACGGUAAUGGGUAAAGAAGCACCGGCUAACUACGUG
rnacentral:rRNA from 1 species